rnacentral:misc_RNA from 1 species
CUCAUUUAGAGGAAGUAAAAGUCGUAACAAGGUCUCCGUUGGUGAACCAGCGGAGGGAUCAUUAGCGAGUGCAAGCUCCCUAUAUCCUGUGAACUGUCCUGUUGCUCCGGCGGGCUCGCCUGCCGGAGUCUACUAUAACUCUGUAUUUAUUGUCUCUCUGAGCACCAAAAGAAAUCGUUAAAACUUUCAACAACGGAUCUCUUGGUUCUG